rnacentral:rRNA from 1 species
UACGUAGGGGGCAAGUGUUAUCCGGAUUUACUGGGUGUAAAGGGAGCGCAGACGGCAGUGCAAGUCUGGAGUGAAAGCCCGGGGCCCAACCCCGGAACUGCUCUGGAAACUGUGCGGCUAGAGUACUGGAGGGGCAGGCGGAAUUCCUAGUGUAGCGGUGAAAUGCGUAGAUAUUAGGAGGAACACCAGUGGCGAAGGCGGCCUGCUGGACAGUAACUGACGUUGAGGCUCGAAAGCGUGGGGAGCAAACAGG